CAGAGAGCAGCUCCAUGUUUUGUGCAUUCUCAAAACUGAGGAAACUGAAGAAGAUAACAAAACAGCUAAAAAGCCCUUGAGGAUGGAGUUUCACUCUUAUCACCCAGGCUGGAGUGCAAUAGCGCAAUCUUGGCUCACUGCAACCUCUGCCUCCUGGGUUCAAGCGAUUCUCCUGGCUGGCCCAGAGUGGUGGCAGUGGAGGCAGGGAGAAGUGUUCACAUUCUGGGUACCUUUGAAGGCCAGCUGCUACCCACCUCCUCGGCUCUGCAAGACACUCCCAGACCUGCCUGUGUCCUAUUCGUCUCCCCUCUGCAGACAGAGGCUCUCCUCAAGACUUUGUUCUGCAAAACCCCCACCACUACCCCUAAGAAGGCAAAAGGGCAACUGAGGCAUGAAGCAGGGGGCACGCACGGGGGAGUCCCACAUUCCUGAUCUGACUCCCCAGGCAUAUUGUGCUGCUUCUGGGGAGCUUGCCACGGCCUGCCUCCUCCCGGGUUUGGGCCCUUGUUUAUAUCUGUUCACCUGUGCUUUCCCCUUCCCUGCAGAACAGCGAUCAGAACCUGUUCAUAUCUGGGACCCCACAGUCCUUACCUAGGGCAGCUAGGUGUUCCCUGGCUGAAUGAAGGGAUGUGGAGUUUCCUGCUGGGUGGUGGGUAGGACAGGCUUGGAAGACAGGGGUGGAAUUAAGUAAGGAAGCUCCAGAAGGACACAGGGCCAUAGAUACUCUCCCACCCAACUCCAGGCCACAUCAGGAACACCUGCUAACAUUUCCUGAACACUCUUUUUGAGCCAGGCCCUGUGUAUUUUAGAUGCGGUUUCAUUUGAUCUUCACAGGAGCCCUAUGAGGUAGGCAUCCCCAACCCCACUUUAUAGAUGCAAACAACUAAGGCACAGAGAAGUUAUUUGUUCAAGGUCACAUGGCUACUAAGCAACAAAACUAGGAUGCAAAAGCAGAUUUGUUCGACCCCACAUGCUGUGUGCUUUGCUACAAUCCACACUGUCUCCCAGGCCCCACAGAGCCCCAAAUGCAUGUGUCUCACCAGUUUCACCUGUGGCCACUGUGCUCAGCUAUCCUCAUCCUAAGACAAUUGUAGUUAUGGUUAAGGAAAGCCUUUUAUUAAAUUGCCAAACACCAGGGAUGAUGAUUACUAAUGAUAACAUGGUCAACAGCUCUCCUCCCGGUGAGCCUGGUGUUUCCAUCAUUGCCUUUCCACCCCCAGUAGAAUCCUCUAUUUGCGAUCCUCCCAGCCACACCUUCAGGUUGGUAGUGCAUGUGCCCUCCC
rnacentral:lncRNA from 1 species